UCCGACCUCAGCCUCCCGAGUAGCUGGGACUACAGGCGUGAACCACCAUGCUCAGAUUCCAUUUAUGCCAGCACCUCAGAGAACUGUGGCUUCCAGGUGUUGCAGAUGAAGUGACACAUCAUGACACGCACCAUGCCAGUGGAACGGCCAAGAACGGAGCUGUCUCUGGGAAGAGGUAGAUGAAUUCCCUUCUCAGUUCACACUACAAAGGAGCCCUGUCUAUGGACUAAUGAAACCCUUUCUGCUCACCUUGAUAAAGAGAAUUGGGCAUUGCUGGGGCCAGCCAUAGUCAAAAAUAAAAUGAAUCUGCUGAGGUUCGUUUCCUUCUCAAAAUAAACAUGUACCCAGACAUCCUGUCUUCAAAAUGUGACUGGCUUUUCCCGUCAGGUUGAAAUGACAGAGGAUGAUUUUGAAUGGAAAUGGAAGCAUCAUCUAAACAACUUGGAAAGCUCUGAGAGAUAAGUUUCUUCAGGAUGGAGUGGAAGGUCACACUUGUUUGUCCUGUGUGUUCCCUCUUCUGUCCCUUGAAUAAUCCUUCCCCCCAAAAAGAAGGCUACUGUUCUCCUAACACUUGGCUUUCUUGUCUCCAGGGAAAAGGAAUUCAUUGACACUAAACACAUUUGCCCCAGGCAUCUCGUAUAUGUGGCACCUAAUAUGAGCUCAAUAAAAAAAAAUUUUAACCUCGUUACUGAGGGAUCCCAUAUGUUCUCCCUCCCAAGGAGGGAGGAACGUAUGAAUUUUUAUUAUUAUUAUUUUUUGAGAUGGAGUCCUGCUCUGUCACCCA